GACGAACGCUGGCGGCGUGCCUAAUACAUGCAAGUCGAACGCAGUGGGGACGGGUGAGUAACACGUGGGUAACCUCCCAUCAGAGGGGAUAACACUUGGAAACAGGUGCUAAACCGAUACUGAUGGAUGGACCUGGGGUGCAUUAGCUAGUUGGUGGGGUAACGGCGCACCAAGGCCACGAGGCAUAGCCGAGCGGAGAGGGUGAUCAGCCACACUGGGACUGAGACAAGGCCCAGACUCCUACGGGAGGCAGCAUGAGGGAAUGUUAGACAAGGGACGAAAGGCUGACCGAGCAACGCCGCGUGAGUGAAGAAGGUUUUCGGAUCGUAAAACUCUGUUGUUAGAGAAGCGGUAUCUAACCAAAAAGCCACGGCUAACUACGUGCCAGCAGCCGCGGUAAUAC
rnacentral:rRNA from 1 species